rnacentral:rRNA from 1 species
UGGGGAAUUUUUCGCAAUGGGCGCAAGCCUGACGAAGCAACGCCGCGUGGAGGAUGAAGGUCUUCGGAUUGUAAACUCCUGUCGACCGGGACGAAUGCACCCGACCUAAUACGUCGAAGUGUUGACGGUACCGGUGGAGGAAGCCACGGCUAACUCUGUGCCAGCAGCCGCGGUAAUACAGAGGUGGCAAGCGUUGUUCGGAAUUACUGGGCGUAAAGGGCGCGUAGGCGGCAAUUCAAGUCAUCUGUGAAAUCUCCGGGCUUAACUCGGAACGGUCAGAUGAUACUGCUUUGCUAGAGUGCAGAAGGGGCAAUCGGAAUUCUUGGUGUAGCGGUGAAAUGCGUAGAUAUCAAGAGGAACACCUGAGGUGAAGACGGGUUGCUGGGCUGACACUGACGCUGAGGCGCGAAAGCCAGGGGAG